ensembl:lncRNA uncharacterized LOC114844211
CACUGGUUUCUGUGGCAGAAGAGCUGAUCCAGACCCCGUUGUCACUGACCAAGAGACUCGGUGAAACCGACACCAUUAGGUGCUCAGGUACUGGGCAGUGUGUUAAAAACCAUGUUUACUGGUACCAGAAGACAGACACAGAGCCGCUGCGAGUGAUUCUGCGUAUCAGUCUGAGUGAUGGGGCAGUGAAUACCCGCUACGCUCAUCCUCAAAGAGAUGAUUUCGAUGCUUCACGGAAACCGAACGGUUGUGAGCUGAUGAUCAAAAAAAUGAAGCCCAGCCAUUCGGCCUCCUACUACUGUGUCUGCUGGAAGAAGCCUUCCCACAGCGAGAACUCACUCCUGCAGCCUGAACAAAAACCAGCACAUGAGCAGAUGUCAAACAGGAGGAGACAGUGAAACCGCAGCUGCACCGCUGUCACCAGAGCCGCGAGCACACGGAGCUGAAGGCUCAUCCUCUGUCUGGUGCUGCUUGGACCAAUGUCAUGAUUCACCCACACGUAGAACAGAGCUUCACACUGCGUGAGCUGCAGAUUGUGACAACAGGAUGCGUCCUCAGUCAGAGUCUGAUGACAGGGAACAGCUGAGCAAAAUGUUACACUUGAUCAAUGAAUAUAAAGAACAGAAAAUAAUCAAACUGACACUAAUCACUGACUUUCUAUAAAAGGUUUUCAGAUGAAACACAUGUAAAGUUAUGACGGUUAAUGCUUCCUCGACCUCCUGUUGGAUCAUGAUUCAUGAAGCCUGAAGUCAAACAGGAAGCGACACUGCGUUCACCUCCGGCUGAUGAACAAACAUGGACCUGACUGUCUGAAGUCUCUGCCACUGAUGGACACACGCUCGGCCACUGCUGCCAGGAGUGGACGUCAUUGGAGCCUGUGAUGGAGCUGCAGCGCCUCUGCAGCAGACGGGUUUUUGUCGCAGCCUGCGUCACCGUGGAAGGAGCCAGUGAAUCUGACAGGUUCCUCGUCUUCGGCUCCGGAACAAAGCUGUUUGUUACAGGUGAGCAGGUGCGGAGGCCGCAGCUCAGCGUGUAUCCAUCCGCCCGGUCCCGGUGCCGGUCCGGACCGCGGAGCAGGGACCUCCUGCUGUGCGUGGCCUCCGCCAUGACGCCUCCUCUGGUCCGCUUCUCGUGGAAAAGGCGGAGGGAGAACGGGCCGCUGGAGGAGCUGCGCCCCGACCAGGGGGAGCGGCUGGAGCUGGUGGUGUCCGGACGCGUGGUCGCCAUCCGAGCCGUGGAACCGGACGCUCAGUACACGUAUAAGUACCGCUGCCACGUCGAGCACGAGUCUGGAGCCGCGGACGCGCCCCAGGACCAAGAGGUGUCUGCCGCUCCGCCACUGCCCCCCGUUUCACCCGGUUCACCCGGUUCUGCUGCAUCCUCUGGGGAGCAGGACAACUGGCGCCGGGAGCGGCAGCUGUGCCUCACGUACGUUGUGCUGCUCGCCAAGAGCGUGGUCUACUGCUGCGGACUGUGUGUGCUCAGAGCCAGCGGGAAGAAUGAACGAAUGAAUGAAUGAACGAAUGAACGAAUGCACCACUGCACAAAUGAAUGAAUAAACAAACAAAUGAAUCACCGACCA